rnacentral:rRNA from 1 species
GCUUGCUUUUGAUGGGCGUCGACCGGCGCACGGGUGAGUAACGCGUAUCCAACCUGCCCACCACUUGGGGAUAACCUUGCGAAAGUAAGACUAAUACCCAAUGACGUCUCUAGAGGACAUCUGAAAGGGAUUAAAGAUUUAUCGGUGAUGGAUGGGGAUGCGUCUGAUUAGCUUGUUGGCGGGGUAACGGCCCACCAAGGCGACGAUCAGUAGGGGUUCUGAGAGGAAGGUCCCCCACAUUGGAACUGAGACACGGUCCAAACUCCUACGGGAGGCAGCAGUGAGGAAUAUUGGUCAAUAGACGAGAGUCUGAUCCAGCCAAGUAGCGUGCAGGAUGACGGCCCUAUGGGUUGUAAACUGCUUUUAUAAGGGAAUAAAGUGAGUCUCGUGAGACUUUUUGCAUGUACCUUACGAAUAAGGACCGGCUAAUUCCGUGCCAGCAGCCGCGGUAAUACGGAAGGUCCGGGCGUUAUCCGGAUUUAUUGGGUUUAAAGGGAGCGUAGGCCGGAGAUUAAGCGUGUUGUGAAAUGUAGAUGCUCAACAUCUGCACUGCAGCGCGAACUGGUUUCCUUGAGUACGCACAAAGUGGGCGGAAUUCGUGGUGUAGCGGUGAAAUGCUUAGAUAUCACGAAGAACUCCGAUUGCGAAGGCAGCUCACUGGAGCGCAACUGACGCUGAAGCUCGAAAGUGCGGGUAUCGAACAGGAUUAGAUACCCUGGUAGUCCGCACGGUAAACGAUGGAUGCCCGCUGUUGGUCUGAAUAGGUCAGCGGCC